UACGUAGGUCCCGAGCGUUGUCCGGAUUUAUUGGGCGUAAAGCGAGCGCAGGUGGUUUAUUAAGUCUGGUGUAAAAGGCAGUGGCUCAACCAUUGUAUGCAUUGGAAACUGGUAGACUUGAGUGCAGGAGAGGAGAGUGGAAUUCCAUGUGUAGCGGUGAAAUGCGUAGAUAUAUGGAGGAACACCGGUGGCGAAAGCGGCUCUCUGGCCUGUAACUGACACAGAGGCUCGAAAGCGUGGGGAGCAAACAGG
rnacentral:rRNA from 1 species